AGUGAACGCUGACGGCAGGCCUAACACAUGCAAGUCGAACGGCAGCACAGUAAGAGCUUGCUCUUAUGGGUGGCGAGUGGCGGACGGGUGAGGAAUACAUCGGAAUCUACUCUUUCGUGGGGGAUAACGUAGGGAAACUUACGCUAAUACCGCAUACGACCUACGGGUUAAAGCGGAGGACCUUCGGGCUUCGCGCGAUUGAAUGAGCCGAUGUCGGAUUAGCUAGUUGGCGGGGUAAAGGCCCACCAAGGCGACGAUCCGUAGCUGGUCUGAGAGGAUGAUCAGCCACACUGGAACUGAGACACGGUCCAGACUCCUACGGGAGGCAGCAGUGGGGAAUAUUGGACAAUGGGCGCAAGCCUGAUCCAGCCAUGCCGCGUGGGUGAAGAAGGCCUUCGGGUUGUAAAGCCCUUUUGUUGGGAAAGAAAAGCAGUCGGUUAAUACCCGAUUGUUCUGACGGUACCCAAAGAAUAAGCACCGGCUAACUUCGUGCCAGCCGCCGCCGUAAAAC
rnacentral:rRNA from 1 species